AGUCAAGAGUACGUGAAACCGUUCGGGGGUAAACCUGAGAAACCCGAAAGAUCGAAAGCCGAGAUACAGCGUCCGCGCCGCCGGUGCAGCGGCGACGGCGUGCACUUCUCGGCCGGUAGGACGUCGCGACCCGUUGGGAGUCGCCGACGCGUAAUGGGGUACGUUCGGGAGGCUCGAGGCGGCGCGGCGGGACUUGUUCCCGUCGUCUUUGCGGCCCCUCGAACCCGACGCGUCCUCGCCUAGCGUUCGGCACGCCCGACGCGACAUUCAAAAACAGAACGAUGCGUUCGUUCGGCGGUUGCGCUUUUGCGGCGCGCCCGGCUUCGUCGUCGCGCUCACGCGCCUCGGCGAAUGUUCUCGGGCGUGCGCGCCUAAUCGGCGCGCACACCGACGUCCGAUCGUCAGCGACGCUUUUGCUUUGGGCGUUUUCAGGACCCGUCUUGAAACACGGACCAAGGAGUCCAACGUGCGCGCGAGUCAAUGGGAGCAAACAGAUAAACCCAAAGGCGAAGCGAAAGCGAAGGUCGGCCGGGGGCGGGGGGCAACUCUCGCAUCCCGUCGGCCGUUGGGAGGAUGGGUCGCGCUCGUCGCGAUCCCGCACUCCCGGGGCGUCUCCGUCAGGCAUCGUCGUCGACGUUUGCGCGUCUUCGUUCGGUGCCGGAGGCGCACCUCUAGCGCGCACGCUGGGACCCGAAAGUGGGUGAACUA
rnacentral:rRNA from 1 species